rnacentral:rRNA from 1 species
CCCUUAGAUGUUCUGGGCCGCACGCGCGCCACACUGACACGUUCAUCAAGUCUAUAACCUUGACCGAGAGGUCUGGGUAAUCUUUUAAAAACGUGUCGUGCUGGGGAUAGAUUAUUGCAAUUAUUAAUCUUCAACGAGGAAUUCCUAGUAAACGCAAGUCAUCAACUUGCAUUGAUUACGUCCCUGCCCUUUGUACACACCGCCCGUCGCUACUACCGAUUGAAUGAUUUAGUGAGUACCAGGGACCGAGCGCUUUGGUUGGGUUUCCUUCCCUAGCGCUUGGGAACUGUCGCAAACUUGACCAUUUAGAGGAAGUAAAAGUCGUAACA